rnacentral:rRNA from 1 species
CCUACGGGAGGCAGCAGUGGGGAAUAUUGGGCAAUGGGCGAAAGCCUGACCCAGCAACGCCGCGUGAAGGAAGAAGGUCUUCGGAUUGUAAACUUUUGUCUUAUGGGACGAUAAUGACGGUACCAUAGGAGGAAGCCACGACUAACUACGUGCCAGCAGUCGCGGUAAUACGUAGGUGGCGAGCGUUAUCCGGAAUUAUUGGGUGUAAAGGGUGCGUAGGCGGGUCGUAAAGUCAGAUGUGAAAUGCGGAGGCUCAACCUCCGAACUGCAUUUGAAACUUACGAUCUUGAGUGGAGUAGAGGCAAGCGGAAUUCCCGGUGUAGCGGUGAAAUGCAUAGAUAUCGGGAGGAACACCAGUGGCGAAGGCGGCUUGCUGGGCUUUUACUGACGCUGAGGCACGAAAGUGUGGGGAGCAAACAGGAUU